rnacentral:rRNA from 1 species
GAUGGGCUCGCGUUGGAUUAGAUAGUUGGUGGGGUAACGGCCUACCAAGUCGACGAUCCAUAGCCGGACUGAGAGGUUGAACGGCCACAUUGGGACUGAGACACGGCCCAGACUCCUACGGGAGGCAGCAGUGGGGAAUAUUGCACAAUGGGGGAAACCCUGAUGCAGCAACGCCGCGUGAAGGAAGACGGUUUUCGGAUUGUAAACUUCUGUUCUUAGUGAAGAAUAAUGACGGUAGCUAAGGAGCAAGCCACGGCUAACUACGUGCCAGCAGCCGCGGUAAUACGUAGGUGGCAAGCGUUGUCCGGAAUUACUGGGUGUAAAGGGAGCGCAGGCGGGAGAUCAAGUCAGCUGUGAAAACUACGGGCUUAACUUGUAGACUGCAGUUGAAACUGAUUUUCUUGAGUGAAGUAGAGGUUGGCGGAAUUCCGAGUGUAGCGGUGAAAUGCGUAGAUAUUCGGAGGAACACCGGUGGCGAAGGCGGCCAACUGGGCUUUAACUGACGCUGAGGCUCGAAAGUGUGGGGAGCAAAACAGGAUUAGAUACCCUGGUAGUCCACACUGUAAACGAUGAUUGCUAGGUGUGGGGGGGUCUGACCCCUUCCGUGCCGCAGCUAACGCAAU